CAUGGAGAGUGUUUAUCAUGACAAGUGCAUACGGUGGGUAAGAUUUUAAUGACUCUGUCGUGUUUAGUGACUGUUGCGAUUACCUGAGAAGCAGCCAGCAGGACGCCGCAGUAUUCUAUAUUUUCUCGAGAUGCAUAAUAUAUAUUCCACUAUCUAUAAUUGAAACUGUAUUGAGCAGGAAGUGUCGUUUUAAUUACUGUUAGUGGUGCUGGGCAAACGGUGAUCGCUUCUGAAUCGAGAAAUCAAGCUUGAUGAAAUACUGCUGCUCGCUGCCUUCACUGGUUCAAGCUCGUUCAGCGGCUAUCAUUGGCAAAUCUUACCAACGGGAUGUAAUAAGAACUGAUGCAGGUUUAUAUCUAUAUGUAUGUGUUCAAGAAUAACUUCGAUCCACCCAUGCAAGGAAAAAUAAGUCAUAGGAGAUAAAUCAAAUUCCCUUCUCUAAUAGCAGCAGUUUCGGCGUGGUUAGCGAGUAUAGCGGGCUGCGUCAUUAUAACGUCAAAUAACAGCAAAGCGAGU